rnacentral:rRNA from 1 species
UCGUACCUUUUGCAUCAUGGUCUAACUAGUAAAACCAAGCAAAGUGAAACUUAAGUUUGACUUCCCGAAACUAGACGAGCUACUUUAAAACAGCCUUAUGGGCCAACCCAUCCCUGUUGCAAAAGAGUGGGAAGAUUUUCAAGUAGAGGUGACACGCCUACCGAGCCUAGAGAUAGCUGGUUAUUCAAGAAAAGGAUAUAGUCCAAUUUUAAGCCUCCCCAAAUCACUAAAUACACCACCAGCUUUAAAAUUUAUUCAAAUAAGGUACAGCCUAUUUGAAACAGGAUACAACCUAUUCAGCAGGGUAAUGUUCUGCCCACAUGAUUAAGUCGGCCUAAAAGCAGCCACCUUUCAAAAAGCGUCACAGCUUAAUCAUACAGCAUCACUAAUUACUAUUAAAACUCAAAACCCUCCCCCUCUACUGAAUGAAUCUAUACCCAUAUAGAAAACCUUAUGUUAGAACUAGUAAUGAGAAAAUUUCUCCCUAAAGCAUGUAUAAGCCAGAAUGAACCACUCCCUGGCACUUACCGCCAUAAACAGUAUUAACCCCACAAGAAAAAUUUACUCUUUCUAAUCGUUAACCUUACACUAGAGCUUUACCGGAAGAUUAAAAAAGGGGGAAGGAACUCGGCAAAAAAUAACUCCGCCU